rnacentral:rRNA from 1 species
UACAGAGGUCUCAAGCGUUGUUCGGAUUCAUUGGGCGUAAAGGGUGCGUAGGUGGCUUGGUAAGUUGAAGGUGAAAUCUCGGGGCUUAACUCCGAAACUGCCUUCAAUACUGCCGAGCUCGAGGAUUGUAGAGGAGAAUGGAAUUCACGGUGUAGCAGUGAAAUGCGUAGAUAUCGUGAGGAAGACCAGUGGCGAAGGCGAUUCUCUGGGCAAUUCCUGACACUGAGGCACGAAGGCUAGGGGAGCAAACGGG